UCCCUCUCAGGAUCACACCUGGAGAGUUUCUAGUACUCUACCAGUCACGCCUAGGGGAGGGAGAGUCAAGCAGAGGCCUACCCAUUCCGUUCCUAGCUUGGACAGUGACCAGCCAGUGGAAGGCAAUCUGCUACAAGU